UACAGAGGGUGCGAGCGUUAAUCGGAUUUACUGGGCGUAAAGCGUACGCAGGCGGCUUUUUAAGUCGGGUGUGAAAUCCCUGAGCUUAACUUAGGAAUUGCAUUCGAUACUGGGAAGCUAGAGUAUGGGAGAGGAUGGUAGAAUUCCAGGUGUAGCGGUGAAAUGCGUAGAGAUCUGGAGGAAUACCGAUGGCGAAGGCAGCCAUCUGGCCUAAUACUGACGCUGAGGUACGAAAGCAUGGGGAGCAAACAGG
rnacentral:rRNA from 1 species